AUGAUCCCUCUAGAUCACCACUACCUUGACACUAUGGGCCAGGAAAUGCAGGGCGCUAGUCGUGGGAAGAGUUGGGCCAAAACAGUGCAAAAGGAAUGGAAAAUUCUGGAGAACAACUUACCAGAAACUAUCUUUGUGCGAGCGUUUGAGGACCGCAUGGAUAUGCUUCGGGUGGUGAUGGUAGGCGCAAGCGGGAUGCCAGAUCGUCACGGCAUGUUCUUCUUUGAUAUGCAGCUACCUCCGUCGUACCCGGAUGCCCCACCGCAAGUGUACUACCACUCCUUUGGCCUACGCCUCAAUCCCAACCUCUACGAGUCCGGUACAGUGUGCCUCAGCCUGCUAAACACAUUCGGUGGCGAGGGCACCGAGGUUUGGUCGUCAGCAACAUCAAGCCUCCUCCAAGUCGUUGUCUCCAUCCAGGGCCUCGUCCUCAAUGACCAACCAUACUACAACGAGGCCGGCUAUGAGACACUGGUCGGCAAACCGGAGGGCCACCGCAAUGCGCUACCCUACAAUGAGAAUGCUUACCUACUAACCCUCUGGACCAUGCAACACCUUUUACGUCGGCCACCUCGGGGAUUUGAGGAAUUCGUCAAGGAACACUUCCACCGUCGGGUAAAAUUUGUGCUUAGGACAUGCAAUGUGUGGCUUCAGGGAAAUGUUGUGGACGAUGCCCAUGCCACUGAAGCGACUAGGAAGCAACGGUGCUCGGCUGGGUAA
rnacentral:rRNA from 1 species